CUACGGGAGGCAGCAGUGGGGAAUAUUGGACAAUGGGGGAAACCCUGAUCCAGCCAUGCCGCGUGUGUGAAGAAGGUCUUAGGAUUGUAAAGCACUUUAAGUUGGGAGGAAGGGUUGUAGCUUAAUACGCUGCAACUUUGACGUUACCGACAGAAUAAGCACCGGCUAACUCUGCCAGCAGCC
rnacentral:rRNA from 1 species